GUCCUCACUUCAGCAGCACACACACUAAAAUUGCCACGACACAGAGAAGAUUAGCACGACCCCUGCACAAGGAUGACACACAAAUUCCUGAAGCUUCCAUAUUUAAA